GACGAACGCUGGCGGCGUGCCUAAUACAUGCAAGUCGAACGAGAGCGCCCGGUGCUUGCACUGGUCAAUCUAGUGGCGAACGGGUGAGUAACACGUGGGUAACCUGCCCAUCAGAGGGGGAUAACAUCCGGAAACGGAUGCUAAAACCGCAUAGGUCUUCGAACCGCAUGGUUUGAAGAGGAAAAGAGGCGCAAGCUUCUGCUGAUGGAUGGACCCGCGGUGCAUUAGCUAGUUGGUGAGGUAACGGCUCACCAAGGCCGUGAUGCAUAGCCGACCUGAGAGGGUGAUGGGCCACAUUGGGACUGAGACACGGCCCAAACUCCUACGGGAGGCAGCAGUAGGGAAUCUUCCGCAAUGGACGCAAGUCUGACGGAGCAACGCCGCGUGAGUGAAGAAGGUUUUCGGAUCGUAAAACUCUGUUGUUAGAGAAGAACAAGUGCUAGAGUAACUGUUAGCGCCUUGACGGUAUCUAACCAGAAAGCCACGGCUAACUACGUG
rnacentral:rRNA from 1 species